AGCGAACGCUGGCGGCAGGCCUAACACACGCAAGUCGAACGAACCUUUCGGGGUUAGUGGCGGACGGGUGAGUAACACGUGGGAACGUGCCUUUAGGUUCGGAAUAACUCAGGGAAACUUGUGCUAAUACCGAAUGUGCCCUUCGGGGGAAAGAUUUAUCGCCUUUAGAGCGGCCCGCGUCUGAUUAGCUAGUUGGUUGAGGUAAUGGCUCACCAAGGCGACGAUCAGUAGCUGGUCUGAGAGGAUGAUCAGCCACAUUGGGACUGAGACACGGCCCAAACUCCUACGGGAGGCAGCAGUGGGGAAUCUUGCGCAAUGGGCGAAAGCCUGACGCAGCCAUGCCGCGUGAAUGAUGAAGGUCUUAGGAUUGUAAAAUUCUUUCACCGGGGACGAUAAUGACGGUACCCGGAGAAGAAGCCCCGGCUAACUUCGUG
rnacentral:rRNA from 1 species